AGUCGAGCGGAUGACAGGAGCUUGCUCCUGAAUUCAGCGGCGGACGGGUGAGUAAUGCCUAGGAAUCUGCCUGGUAGUGGGGGACAACGUUUCGAAAGGAACGCUAAUACCGCAUACGUCCUACGGGAGAAAGCAGGGGACCUUCGGGCCUUGCGCUAUCAGAUGAGCCUAGGUCGGAUUAGCUAGUUGGUGAGGUAAUGGCUCACCAAGGCGACGAUCCGUAACUGGUCUGAGAGGAUGAUCAGUCACACUGGAACUGAGACACGGUCCAGACUCCUACGGGAGGCAGCAGUGGGGAAUAUUGGACAAUGGGCGAAAGCCUGAUCCAGCCAUGCCGCGUGUGUGAAGAAGGUCUUCGGAUUGUAAAGCACUUUAAGUUGGGAGGAAGGGCAUUAACCUAAUACGUUAGUGUUUUGACGUUACCGACAGAAUAAGCACCGGCUAACUCUGUGCCAGCAGCCGCGGUAAUACAGAGGGUGCAAGCGUUAAUCGGAAUUACUGGGCGUAAAGCGCGCGUAGGUGGUUUGUUAAGUUGGAUGUGAAAUCCCCGGGCUCAACCUGGGAACUGCAUUCAAAACUGACAAGCUAGAGUAUGGUAGAGGGUGGUGGAAUU
rnacentral:rRNA from 1 species